UACGGGGGGAGCAAGCGUUGUUCGGAUUUACUGGGCGUAAAGGGCGCGUAGGCGGCCACCGCAAGUCGACUGUGAAAUCUCCGGGCUUAACCCGGAAAGGUCAGCCGAUACUGCGGGGCUAGAGUGCAGAAGGGGCAACUGGAAUUCUCGGUGUAGCGGUGAAAUGCGUAGAUAUCGAGAGGAACACCGAUGGCGAAGGCAGCCUUCUGGGCCACAACUGACGCUGAGGUACGAAAGCGUGGGUAGCAAACAGG
rnacentral:rRNA from 1 species